rnacentral:tRNA from 1 species
CAGAUAUUAGUUUAAAUAAAAUAUUAAUUUUGGAGAUUAAUGAUAAUUAAUUAAUUAUAUCUGA